GAUGAAGAACGCAGCGAAAUGCGAUAAGUAAUGUGAAUUGCAGAAUUCAGUGAAUCAUCGAAUCUUUGAACGCACAUUGCGCCCGCCAGUAUUCUGGCGGGCAUGCCUGUCUGAGCGUCAUUUCAACCCUCAUGCCCCUAGGGCGUGGUGUUGGGGAUCGGCCAAAGCCCGCGAGGGACGGCCGGCCCCUAAAUCUAGUGGCGGACCCGUCGUGGCCUCCUCUGCGAAGUAGUGAUAUUCCGCAUCGGAGAGCGAUGAGCCCCUGACGUUAAACCCCCAACUUUCCAAGGUUGACCUCAGAUCAGGUAGGAAUACCCGCUGAACUUAAGCAUAUCAAUAAGCGGAGGA
rnacentral:misc_RNA from 1 species